CCUACGGAGGCAGCAGGGGGAAUUUCACAAUGGGCGCAAGCCUGAUGCAGGACGCCGCGGAGGGAAGACGGCCUUCGGGUUGUAAACCUCUUUCACCAGGGACGAAGCGUGAGUGACGGUACCUGGAGAAGAAGCACCGGCCAACUUCGUGCCAGCAGCCGCGGUAAUACGUAGGGUGCGAGCGUUGUCCGGAAUUACUGGGCGUAAAGAGUUCGUAGGCGGUUUGUCGCGUCGUUCGUGAAAUCUUGGGGCUUAACUCCAAGCGUGCGGGCGAUACGGGCAGACUUGAGUAUUACAGGGGAGACUGGAAUUCCUGGUGUAGCGGUGAAAUGCGCAGAUAUCAGGAGGAACACCGCUGGCGAAGGCGGGUCUCUGGGUAGUAACUGACGCUGAGGAACGAAAGCGUGGGUAGCGAACACGAUUAGAUAC
rnacentral:rRNA from 1 species